CGUGGUCACAGUCCCCGGACCUGUCUCACCCCUGCGGUCACCCCGCCGCUCCGGAACGCCCCCCACUCCGCCCGCGAUCCCCAUCUCACCGUCCUGAGACGCGCCGCGGCCCCGGUGCCAGGAAGGGCUGUGGGCUCUGAGGCGCUGACCAAAAGGGCCCAGGCGGCGCGGGCUUCCUGGAGGGGCGCAAGCCUUUCCUGAGCGCAAUUCACGGAUGGAGAUGGAGCGCCCGGCCUUGGGCACAGCGCUGUGACCAGCAGAGAGUCCUCACUGAGCCUAGGAAGCCGCCCUCCGCUGAGCCCUGUUCCAUAGAAAGGGACACUGAGGCACAGAGCCAGGACCUGCCUCAAGGGAGGGUACCACACAGCAGGCCCCCAGCACUGCUCCCCUUGGAUGUCAACAUCGACAGGCUGGUGGCACCAGAGGCCAGAUUCGGUUAGCAGCGGGCAAGUCUGCCUUGUGUGUGCGGAGGGCUCGGUGCUUGGAUUCUGCACAAAAGAUUUAGGUGACCUGGACAUUGCCAGGAUGGCGCCCCACGGAGGUUGCUUCCUGUCAGGUGGUACAGGAGGUUUUGGCUGGAACUGUCAGACCGGCUUCCCCCACCCUUACCCCCCACCCUGUAAGUGGGGGCGGGGCGGCAUCCAGACCGCAAUGUAAAUAUAUCAUA